rnacentral:rRNA from 1 species
CCCUUAGAUGUUCUGGGCCGCACGCGUGCUACACUGAUGCAUUCAACGAGUCUAAAACCUGGUCUGAUAGGGCUGGGUAAUCUUUUGAAAGUGCAUCGUGAUUGGGAUAGAUGAUUGCAAUUCUUCAUCUUCAACGAGGAAUGCCUAGUAAACGCAAGUCAUCAGCUUGCAUUGAUUACGUCCCUGCCCUUUGUACACACCGCCCGUCGCUCCUACCGAUUGAAUGGUCCGGUGAAGCGUUCGGACCGUGGCCUUUGGACGGUUCGCCGUCUGUUGGCUGCGGGAAGUUCGUUAAACCUUAUCAUUUAGAGGAAGGAGAAGUCGUAACA